rnacentral:rRNA from 1 species
GUGUCAGCAGCCGCGGUAAUACGGAGGGGGCUAGCGUUGUUCGGAAUUACUGGGCGUAAAGCGCACGUAGGCGGAUUAGUAAGUUGGGGGUGAAAUCCCAGGGCUCAACCCUGGAACUGCCUUCAAAACUACUAGUCUUGAGUUCGAGAGAGGUGAGUGGAAUUCCGAGUGUAGAGGUGAAAUUCGUAGAUAUUCGGAGGAACACCAGUGGCGAAGGCGGCUCACUGGCUCGAUACUGACGCUGAGGUGCGAAAGCGUGGGGAGCAAACAGGAUUAGAAACCCUGGUAGUCC